rnacentral:lncRNA from 1 species
CGCCAGCCUUUUUUUUGCCCCUGCCUCCCUCACAAAGAAAAGUCUUGUCUUUCUUGUCCUUUGCGUUCAAAGUGUUUAUAUGAAUUUACAGAAGCUCUUUAUAUAUUACAAGUAUUGUAUUUUAUUAACCUUUACAUAUUAUUAUUGCUAACCUACAUUGAAAAUAUUUAUAUCAGUUUAUCUUUAACAUGGUUAGAUUACAAUAAUAUUCUAGUAAUGUAGGAGUUGUAUAUUUAAGUUAAGAACCUUCCCCUAUCUGGAAUUUGUUCUUGUGAAUGUUGUGUGUUAAGUGUUAUGCUAUAUGUUGGCAAAUUGAACUCCAAUAAAAAAAAUAAAAUCAGAUCCAAAAGCUAAAAAAAGUGGAAUUUCUUUAAAAUUCCUCAGGAUGCCUAGGUGUCUCAGUUAGUUAAGCAUCUGACUCCUGGACUCAGCUCAGGUCAUGAUCUCAAGGUUGUGAGAUUGAGUCCUGCAUUGGACUCCAUGCUCCACAAGGAGUCUAUUUCAGAUUUUCUCUCCCCCUCCCUCCCUCUUCUUCUCCCCCAGCUUGUGCUUGUUCUAUCUCAUAAAUAAAUAAGUAAGUAAAAUCUUUAAAAUUCCCCAAAGAGUUGGGUGUGGAAGCUAAAAGCUAAGAGAAGAGAUAGACCAAGAGACCCAUCUUUCUUGGAUGCGUGAGUGGGAGAAGCUUGUUUGCUGAAAGCAUAGAGGAUUAUGCCCUUUGCCAGCUUAUAAUUCCAUCUGCUUCCUGCUGAGAAUGACUCUCAAACUCUGUGUCUUUAGAGCCAGUCUUUCCUGUGUGAUGUUAGUCCAGGCUUCAGAAGUUUGGAUAUGUUCAUUUUGUUGCAUGUGGGGGCAAGCUGAAGAAUCACUGUAGACCAUGAGGACUGUGUUUCAGAGGCGGCCUGGACUCUCCUGUCCCCAAUGUCCAGCCCUGCCCUGGCAGGAUGGAGCCAGCUUAGUGACAAGACUGUCCCUUACUACAAGUCUUGAGGAUGCAGUCCCUAACUGGACGACACACCACACCAUUACUCUGUCAUUAUGGAAGAAGAGAAUGGAAACUGUAUUGUCAUAAUAAAUCUUAGCUAUGAUCACAACUAUAUGCUGAAACCUGUAAGUGCUCCUAGCCAGUCUCUGAACACAGGGGUGGCCUUGGGGACCACCACCACAUAGGCCCACCAGUAGUGAGAGUUCUCAUAGCCACAUCACUUCACUGGAUUUGAUACUUUUUAUGGACCAAAUAUUUGUCUUCCCCUAAAAUUCAUAUAUUGAAAUCUAAUCUCCAAUGUAAUCGUGUUAGAAGGUGGGGGUCUUUAGGAGGUAAUUAGGUCAUGAGGGUGGAGCCUUUAUGAAUGGGAGGAGUGCCCUUAUAAGGAGAGGCUAGAAAGCUAGACCACUCUCUUUCUGCCUACGAGGAUACAACAGAGUCAGCCAUCUGCAAGCCAGAAGAAGACUCUCACCAAAGCCUGGCCAUGUUGACACCCUGACUUCUAGCCUCUAGAACUGUGAGGAGUACAUUUCUGUUGGCCGUAAGCCACCCAGUCUGUGGUACCUUGUUAUAGCAGCCCACGCUUAUAGGUGGGCUUACUGUGGGCUUACUGACGUAAGACAGUAUUAUUGGACUUUCUAAUCUUUGCCAACCUGAUAGGUGUGAAGUAGUAUCCUGUUAAUUUGAAUUUCUAUUUCCUUGAUUACUAGUGAGAUUAAACAUCUUUUUAUGUUUAGUGACAAUUUGGGUUUCUUCUUCUGUGAAGUGCCUAUUCGGAUUCCUUGCUCAUUUUUCUUCUGGGCUGUUUGUCUUAUUGAAUCAUAGGAGUUCCUUAUAUAUGGAUACUAGGCGGGAAGAGAUGGUUAAACACAGGGAGAUAGGAAAAUGAAGGCCUUUUAGGGAUUUGGUUUGGCUGAAUUAUACAUAUAUAAUGGGGACUGACAAGGAAUAAAGCUGAAAGGGUAAACUGGGGAACA